rnacentral:pre_miRNA from 1 species
CGAUGUUGAUGAUGAUGAUGGCGAUGUUGAUGAUGAUGAUGAUGAUGAUGAUCGCCACAUCAUCAUUAUCAUCAUCUUCAUCGCUACAUCAUCAUCAUCA